GACAUGGGGGAGGUGGGGCCCGGGGUGGCUCACCUGGGAGCUGGGGCGGCUGUUGGGGACAUCGUCGGGGUGUCCCCGCUCGGGGCUCCAGGUGCCGGUCCUCUGGAACAUCUCCUGGGCGCGCUGCGUGACCCAGGACUGGCUCUCCUUCAUGUCCCCGUCCCGCGCGGCCCUGGGGGACAGCGGCGAUCAGAGCCCUGCUGGGACACCGGCGACACCGGGGACAACGCGGGGCACUUACGGCUCGGCCGCAGGCACCGCGUCCGGUCCCGGGGGCCCCUCCUGGGUGGGGGAUGGUGGCUCCAUGCGCUGGAACAUCAGCGGCGUCCGGUUCUGCGGGGACACGGGAGGCUGGAUAUGGGGACACCGGGACAUGGGGGUACCAGGACACUGGGACACAGAGACGCCAGGACAUGGGGACACCAGGACAGGAAGACACCAGGACAUGGGGACAGGGGGAUACUGGGACACUGGGAUGGCAAAGGAGGGGACAGGGCGGAGCUGGGAGCUGCGGCGCCGUGGUGGGGACACCGCGGGGUGACAGGGAGAGGACCGCGUGGGACAGGGGUGGUGUCCCACCUGCUCCUCGCGCAUGGCCUGCAGCUUCUUGGCUUUGCUCUGCCGGUAAUAUUCCAUGAUCAUCAUGGCCGCAUAGAUCUUCCCCACCGUCAGGUCAGUGGCUGCGGGGACACGGGUCAGAGUGGACAGCGUGGGGACAGCGGGGACGGCGUGGGGACAGGGCGGCCCCUUACACUUGUGUGGGGUGACGAGCAGGUCCAGGUUUUUGGGGGACAGGUUGGGCCAGAUGGCGAUCAUCUCCUUGCGCAGCUCCGCGUCCAUCUGCUGCUUGUCAGCCCCGCCUGCGGAGACACGCGGGUGACACGGGUGGCUCUGUGCGUCCUCGGGGACACCCCGGCCUCGCCAGCCCCCUGGGGACCCGAGUUCCCCCGUGUCCCCACGCACACCCCCUCCAUGUCCUCCCAUGCCCCCCGAUGUCCCCCCGUCCCCCUGCCUUUGGCGAUCUUGAUGUCCAGCGCGGUGCGGAUCAGGGCCAUCAGGGUGGAGUUGAAGUGCACCGUGUUGUCAUCGGCCACCGGCAGGUCCAUGCGGAGCAGCCGCUGCGGGGGGAGGGCCCAAAUUUGGGGGGGGGGAGGUCAGCCGGCACCCCCAACCCCCCCAACCCCGGGGGGGAGGGGCGGGACUGGUGAGAAGGCGGGGGCAGCCCCGCCGAGCGGGCA
rnacentral:lncRNA from 1 species